GUCAAUAUCAGAAUACAUUUUUAAAUUAAGUUAUAUGGGAGCAGAUACAUGUUUAAGUAAAAAAGAAAAAGGACCACAGUGUAUCAAGGAGUUAAAGCCCUUAACAUCAUGCAUACACAUGGGCUUCCUACUCUUCUAGGUCAGUAUGCCUGAUCCUAAAACUCGGUCUGGGGCCUGACAGCUUAAGGCCUAGGAGAACCGUUUAAGCUAUGUGUGUGCGUAGCUUUAGAUGGGGGGAAGGGACUGCCGGCUGUAUAGCCAACCCAUCUGAGAGCAGGAUGUGUGAUAUCAUUGCUCAGUAAAGUGAAAGGUAUCGUUUAAAAUAUAAAACAUAUGGAAAGGAAUAAACAUGCAAACAUUACUAUACUAUAUACAACCCACCUAUUGUGGGUAUACUUGGUGUAAGGUAUCAGCUAAAGCUUUAGGUCGUGGCCACAGCAUAAGCAGUUAUGUAGGCCCGCUUAAGAGUAAACGGGGUGAUAUUCACUGGAUCCCAUCUGGAUGCAGUUGUGCAGUUUGUUGUGGCCUGACUUGCUGUAGAGCAUCCCAUGGAAGGUCAGGAGCUUUUUCUUCUUGUAGAUCUUGAAUGUUGUAUGAGCAUUCUAUUUGCAGGACCACUAGGGCACGGGAGAGACGCUAUAUGUAACUGAUUCCGCGGUCUCAAAUUAGUUUGGUUAAUGUUUGGAGGGAUCUCCACCAAUGCAGCGUGCUGCCCGAUAGGUCAGCAUAGAAAGUAAGGCCCAUGUACUCGAAUGCGUAGGGUGAGGAUCCUCUGAGAGCUGCCAGCACCACGGCUUUAUCUCUGUGGUUUUAGAAGUGCACCACUAAAUCUCUGGGCACCAAUUCUGGCGCCCUC